GCCAUGUGUUCCUGUGAAUCCAUGUGUAGCUGAUCUUGGGCAGAGAUUCUGGAAAAGGAAGAUAAUGUGGGUGGGACAAGACAGACAUGGGGGGUCAGCUCCCUCCUAGCUUUGGCCUUGCUCUGCUGGGAGACUUGGUCUGCCCAAGAGAGGACUUACUCCCAGGGAGAAGAGCACUAAAAGCUAUGUCGUGGUCUCCUUGCCAGGUUGGGCUCUACUCCACCCUUCCCAAGCUGGGCCAGAACUGCUGAGGUGACUGCUUUGAGGAGAUUCUUCGGAAUCUUAUCCCUCCCCUGCUCAGGGCAGUAGCUUCCUCAUAACCUCCGGCUUCUCCCUGGCCCCCCAACUCUCCAACCUCAGCAGCCAGCUUGAUGAUGAUGACGAUGACGACGACGACGACGACGACGAUGAUGAUGAUUACCGUUUUUUAAUUUAUUAAGAGCUACAAUAUCUACAAAGUGGAUAAAAUAAUGUCAGGAAUUUAGGAGCAACUCUGCUGGACAGAUCUGUCUUGAGAACACCCAUGGGGCCGCAGUCAUCUUCUCUUCCCCACCCUCACCCCCCGACCUGUCCACAGGGCUGCUUGAUGAUCCUCACAGCAGUGUCUCACUUCCCCCAGGGUGAGGGGGUCCAAGAGACCAAGACGGAGGAAGCGGCAGUGCCUCUUCUAACUAGCCUUGGAAGUCACACCCAGUCACUUUGCCACAUUCUAUGGAUCACACAGGCCACUCCUGAUUCAGUGUGGGAGGAUGCUACACAGUGGCGUACAGGCAGGAGGUGAAGAUCCUUGUCUACAUGGCCCAUGGUGGCUCAUCAACCACUUCUGCUUUCCAGUCAGUGGGAAGGAGAGGGUGCCCCUUCCUGGUGAUGGAGUGACCUGGAGGUAGCACUGUGCCCUCUAGGGAUGUGUAUGCUGGCUUUCUGUGGGAUGUUACUUGCCAAAAUGUAGUCCUAGCCACACGUAGCUACAAUACACAGCUGGGAAGUGUGGCUUUUAUCAGGGGCAGGCAUGUGCCCUGCUUCCAACUUCUGUUACUGCAUGGCUUAGUUUGAGUCUCUCUGAAAGCAGAACUUGGACAGUGGAAGAAAGCCAGUUUUUCCCUUGCCAGUAGGGAAAACCCCACACCCCCCUUCUUGUGGGUCUCCCUUGCUACUCACAUGGAACACUUCCCUUCUGCUGUUUUUGCUCACCCGAUGUGUGAGGGUGGUUCCCUACCAAGCAAUUCUGACACCAGCUGCGUGUCCUGCAAUUUAACUCAAUUCUGACACUUCCACCUGAAGAUAGCAUCGGUUCCCACUGGUUAAGGGCUCAGUCCCACAAAACCACCCCACCACGCUUUCGAUGCCAUUCACCCAGUCCAGGUUGUCACCUUGCUUCUACUAGUUAGCUGUAAGUCAGAGUUCCCAUGACCCCUCCUUGUGUUGGAUUAAGUUGAUGAAGUGGCUCACAGAAUGCAGGGAAACACUCACAUUCACCAAUUUGUUGAAGGAUAUGACAAAGGAUUCAGAUGAAUAGCCAGUGAGCCUCACUCACAUAGGGUGAGGUCUGGGAGGAUGCUGAGUGCAAGAGCUUCUGUCCCCGUGGAGUUGGGGAUGUGUUAUGCUGCUGGUACAUAGAUGUAUUUGCAAACCUGGAAGCUGUCAGGAUGCUGUACUUUUGGGAUUCUUUUGGAGUCUUCAUUACAUGGGCAUGAUCGAUGGAUCAAUAACUCCAUUUUUAGUGCUUCUAAUUUUUUUUUAAAAAGAUGUAUUUGUUUUUCAGAGAGAGAGAGAGAGAGAGAGAGAGAGUGCACAAGUGGGAAGGGCAGAUGGAGAGGGAGAGAGAAUCUCAAGCAGACUCCACACAGAGUGUGGGGCCCAACACGGGCUCGAUCUCAUGACCCUGAGGUCAUGACUUGAACAGAAAUCAAGAGUCAGGUGCCCUUAAAUGCUUUUCCUUCUUAAGAAAAUGGUAAGCAGGGCUGAAAAUUUCAAGUUUCUAAUUCCUCUUAGUCUUUCUGGUGACCAGUCCCCAUCCAGGUACAAUCCAGGAGCAUACCAGAUUUGUCUCACUAAAACAGAAGUCAAAAAAAAUAAAAAUAAAAAUAAAACAGAAGUCACUCCUAUCACCCAGAAAACUCCAAAGCAUUUAAUACUAUGUCAGGAACUGGGGUCAAAGACCAAAUAUUAGAACUAAAGAUGCUCCUAGUGCUCUUGUCACUUAGAAAUUACAAGGGUUUUAGGAACUCUGUGCCAGGAACCAGGGAUGAAGA